rnacentral:rRNA from 1 species
AGUUUGAUCCUGGCUCAGGAUAAACGCUGGCGGCGCACAUAAGACAUGCAAGUCGAACGGACUUAACUCAUUCUUUUAGUUUGAGAGCGGUUAGUGGCGGACUGGUGAGUAACACGUAAGCAACCUGCCUAUCAGAGGGGAAUAACAGUGAGAAAUCACUGCUAAUACCGCAUAAGCUAGUAGUAUCGCAUGAUACAGCUAGAAAAGGAGCAAUCCGCUGAUAGAUGGGCUUGCGUCUGAUUAGGUAGUUGGUGGGGUAACGGCCCACCAAGGCGACGAUCAGUAGCCGAACUGAGAGGUUGAACGGCCACAUUGGGACUGAGAUACGGCCCAGACUCCUACGGGAGGCAGCAGUCGGGAAUAUUGCGCAAUGGAGGAAACUCUGACGCAGUGACGCCGCGUAUAGGAAGAAGGUUUUCGGAUUGUAAACUAUUGUCGUGAGGGAAGAAGUUGACAGUACCUCAGGAGGAAGCUCCGGCUAACUAUGUGCCAGCCGCCGCGGUAAUUC